CGGACGGGUGAGUAACGCGUGGGUAACCUGCCUCAUACAGGGGGAUAACGGUUAGAAAUGACUGCUAAUACCGCAUAAGCGCACAGUACCGCAUGGUACAGUGUGAAAAACUCCGGUGGUAUGAGAUGGACCCGCGUCUGAUUAGCUAGUUGGUAAGGUAACGGCUUACCAAGGCGACGAUCAGUAGCCGACCUGAGAGGGUGACCGGCCACAUUGGGACUGAGACACGGCCCAA
rnacentral:rRNA from 1 species